CGCUGGCGGCACGCCUAACACAUGCAAGUCGAACGAAGUAGCAAUACUUAGUGGCAAACGGGUGAGUAAUAUGUGGGAAUCUGCCCUUCGGUCUGGAAUAACAUGAGGAAACUUGUGCUAAUACCGGAUAAGCCUUUACAGGGAAAGCUUUAUGCACCGAUUGAUGAGUCCACACUUGAUUAGUUAGUUGGUGAGGUAAUAGCUCACCAAGACAAUGAUCAAUAGCUGAUUUGAGAGGAUGAUCAGCCACAUUGGGACUGAGACACGGCCCAAACUCCUACGGGAGGCAGCAGUGGGGAAUCUUGCACAAUGGGGGAAACCCUGAUGCAGCGAUGCCGCGUGAGUGAAGAAGGCCCUUGGGUUGUAAAGCUCUUUCGUCGGGGAAGAAAAUGACUGUACCCGAAUAAGAAGGUCCGGCUAACUUCGUGCCAGCAGCCGCGGUAAUACGAAGGGACCUAGCGUAGUUCGGAAUUACUGGGCUUAAAGAGUUCGUAGGUGGUUAAAAAAGUUGGUGGUGAAAUCCCAGGGCUUAACUCUGGAACUGCCAUCAAAACUUUUUAGCUAGAGUAUGAUAGAGGAAAGUAGAAUUUCUAGUGUAGAGGUGAAAUUCGUAGAUAUUAGAAAGAAUACCGAUUGCGAAGGCAGCUUUCUGGAUCAUUACUGACACUGAGGAACGAAAGCAUGGGUAGCGAAGAGGAUUAGAUACCCUCGUAGUCCAUGCCGUAAACGAUGUGUGCUAGACGUUGGAAAUUUAUUUUCAGUGUCGCAGCAAAAGCAUUAAGCACACCGCCUGGGGAGUACGACCGCAAGUAACUAAAUGGAUU
rnacentral:rRNA from 1 species